GUUUUUAUAGUUGAGGUAACAACGAUGGCUUUUCAGGUCAUAGGUCUUGGUUAAGUCCAAGUAAGAACU
rnacentral:tRNA from 1 species